ACUUGCUUUGGCAACUUACGUCCCAAAAUUGGAACAAUACAGAGAUAAACAUCAACCCUGCAGAAGGUUGACACACAAAUUUGUGGAACUUUCCAUAUGUUU